UGGGGAAUAUUGGACAAUGGACCAAGAGUCUGAUCCAGCAAUUCUGUGUGCACGAUGAAGUUUUUCGGAAUGUAAAGUGCUUUCAGUUGGGAAGAAAAAAAUGACGGUACCAACAGAAGAAGUGACGGCUAAAUACGUGCCAGCAGCCGCGGUAAUACGUAUGUCACGAGCGUUAUCCGGAUUUAUUGGGCGUAAAGCGCGUCUAGGUGGUUAUGUAAGUCUGAUGUGAAAAUGCAGGGCUCAACUCUGUAUUGCGUUGGAAACUGUAUAACUAGAGUACUGGAGAGGUAAGCGGAACUACAAGUGUAGAGGUGAAAUUCGUAGAUAUUUGUAGGAAUGCCGAUGGGGAAGCCAGCUUACUGGACAGAUACUGACGCUGAAGUGCGAAAGCGUGGGUAGCAAACAGGAUUAGAUACCCUGGUAGUCCAUGCCGUAACGAUGAUUACUAGGUGUUGGGGGUCGAACCUCAGCGCCCAAGCAAACGCGAUAAGUAAUCCGCCUGGGGAGUACGUACACAAGUAUG
rnacentral:rRNA from 1 species